CAGAAAAGAACACUGUUGGAGUAGAGCCAGAUUCAAACUUCAAUAAUGAGAGGUAAGAACAAAUCUGGGACAGAAAUUUUGACUGUGAUUUGGAAACCCUACUUUUCCUCUUGAGGCUCUGAAUAUCUACUGGAGGUGCACACAUAGAGUUACCUCUCCCCACUGUUCAGACAUUUUGGCUAAGGAGAACAAGCCUCAGAAUAUGUGAUGGGACCAGGGAAAUACACAAUGGGAUGUCCUUCCCAACUUAGUAACUGACUUGAAAUCAAACAAUGUGGAGAGUGAGAAGCAGUCAGGAAUGAGCUGUUUCCUUGAAUGCUUCUUGAACACACUUCUUUCUGAAACAUUCAGUGACAUGAAUCUGGUAUUAAUUCUGAACCUGCUUCCAUUCUUCUAUGAGAUCUCACGUGAACCAUUACAUAUCCUAAAAACUUUAAAGCUCCUGAACAAUAUAAGAAAUCCCCACUACCUAUAUCCUACAAUGAGUCAAAAUAACUAAGGUCUCAAAGUCAGAUCAUAGGCAGCCAGAGGCUUC
rnacentral:lncRNA from 1 species